rnacentral:rRNA from 1 species
UACGUAGGGGGCAAGCGUUGUCCGGAAUUAUUGGGCGUAAAGAGCGUGUAGGCGGUCCGGUAAGUCAGCUGUGAAAGUCAAGGGCUCAACCCUUGAAAGCCGGUUGAUACUGUCGGGCUAGAGUCCGGAAGAGGCGAGUGGAAUUCCCGGUGUAGCGGUGAAAUGCGCAGAUAUCGGGAGGAACACCAAUGGCGAAGGCAGCUCGCUGGGACGGUACUGACGCUCAUGCACGAAAGCGUGGGGAGCAAACAGG